AGCAGCUCCACUGCCCAGCCCCUGCUUUCUCAUACAUAGCCUUAUAAGAAUGGCUGUAGCUGGUCUCUGCUAGUUCUUCCCACCCUUUUACUCCUACUGUUUCACCCUCUAUCACUAGAUAGGAAAGAAAGAUACAGGGCAGAGAGAGAUAGAAACCCUUGAAUCUAAUUUCCUUGUGUUUCUUUUUUGAGCAUGACUACUAAUAAAUAGCAACCCCUCUUCCCCCAAAUGACCAAUAACCACCAACCUCACCUCUUAGGGCCAUAGCAUUUAUUUGUUUAUUUUUAACAGAUUUCCUUUUUUUUUUUUUUAAGAUUUAUUUUAUUUAUAUGAGUACACCAUUGCUCUCUUCAGACACACCAGAAGAGGGCAUCAGAUCGCAUUACAGAUGGUUGUGAGGCACCAUGUCCUUGCUGGGAAUUGAACUCAGGACCUCUGGAAGAGCAGUCAUCAGUGCUCUUAACCAAGAAGCCAUCUCUCCAGCCCGGGGCCAUAGCAUUUGUAUACCUCCUGAAAAGUUCCCAGAAUUCCAAAUGUCACACAAUCACAGAAACUAUCUGCAGCUGGCAAAAAUCACGCCUCUGCUAGAGCAUGAUGCAAAUCAUAGUCAGAUGCUGUUUUGUUUUGUUUUUUAAGAUUUAUUUAUUAUAUGUGAGUAUACUGUAUCUGUCUUCAGAUAUACCAGAAGAGGUCAUCGGAUCUCAUUAUGGAUGGUUGUGAGCCACCAUGUGGUUGCUGGGAUUUGAACUCAGGACCUUUGGAAGAGCAGUCAGUGCUCUUAACCACUGAGCCAUCGCUCCAGUCCCAGCUGCUGUGUUUUUUAAAGAAACCAAAAUUUCAGAAUUCUCACUACAGUUCCCACUUCUCCUUUAGGCUAUUAAUUGUGCUGUGUAUAGUGGAAAAUUAUAAACAGAGGUAUUUUAAACAAAAAUAAGAGCUUUUCAGGUCAGUGGCUAAGGGCCUCAGGAGCCCUUUUCUGUUCUUUCUGCUCUAGCGGUUUUGCCUUUGAUGUAGGGAAACAGUAGCAGCUGAACAAUCCUAUCACCUGCAUUAAAUUGCAGCUCGUUUUUUACAUAGACCAUAAUUUAAACUUCUCCUUUGAACUCUUCAUCUAUAAUUCAUAGAUGCACAAUGAGUCCUUGGGAAGUGAAUCUACUUCUUCCCAAGAUCAUUGCUACUGUCCCUGAGGGCAAAGGACCAUAAGCUCCAGUAGUUAUUUUAUAACACUGAAUUUUGGGGGGGUAAAGAUAUUUACCUGUGUCCAAGUCUCAAGCCAUGCUGCCUAUAGUAGAAUGCAUUAAAUCUUCAAUGCCCAGAGAAAGUUUUUGGUCUGUAUGUCACUCCUUGGCUGAAAGGAUUUGUACUUUUUGUUUGGGGGCAAGGCUUAAGUUAGGCCUCCAAGGCCAUUUCCGGAUAAGAAAUAAAAUUUCCUUUUGACCUA
rnacentral:lncRNA from 1 species